GAUGAACGCUGGCGGCGUGCUUAACACAUGCAAGUCGAACGAGAAGUGAAGACGGAAACCUUCGGGCGGAAGGCUUUAUUUCGAGUGGCGGACGGGUGAGUAACGCGUGGGUAACCUGCCUCAUACAGGGGGAUAACAGUUGGAAACGACUGUUAAUACCGCAUAAGACCACCGCACCGCAUGGUGCGGGGGUAAAAACUCCGGUGGUAUGAGAUGGACCCGCGUUCGAUUAGCCAGUUGGCGGGGUAACGGCCCACCAAAGCGACGAUCGAUAGCCGAUCUGAGAGGAUGACCGGCCACAUUGGGACUGAGACACGGCCCAAACUCCUACGGGAGGCAGCAGUGGGGAAUAUUGCACAAUGGGGGAAACACUGAUGCAGCGACGCCGCGUGAGUGAAGAAGUAUUUCGGUAUGUAAAGCUCUAUCAGCAGGGAAGAAAAUGACGGUACCUGAGGAAGAAGCCCCGGCUAACUACGUG
rnacentral:rRNA from 1 species